rnacentral:tRNA from 1 species
CCGCCUUUAGUUCAACGGUAGAACCGCCGGCUCAUAACCGGUAAGUUCCGGGUUCGAAUCCCGGGGGGCGGACAA